ACAGUAAUGGCAAAGCUAGAUUUUCAGUAUUAUUACUCCAGUCUUCAGUAUCACAUGAUUCUUCAGAAAUCAUUGAUUUGCUGAAACAUUUCUUAUUAUUAUCAUGUGUUUGUGCAAACUGUGAUACAUUUUUAUCAAGUUCAAAGCAAUGCUACUUUGUUUGACAUUUGAAAAUCUGUAUUAAUCUGACACUAGUUUGACCAGUAAACCCAUUCUGUUAUAUUCAUAAUUGGUUCAUAUUUAGUCUGGUCAACUUUUUAAAUGCAUGCAUAAAAAUUUCAUUGAGUGAAAACAUUAUUUGUUUCCACACUGAACUCAUUGACUCGUGGAAAGAAGAGCUGCCUAGUACAAGCCGUGUUUGUGGGAUCCUAGUUCAGUGGCUAUUUAAGUUCAGUCCAUGUGAAAUUCCCAUCACUUUAAAUUGGCAGUUUCUCUUAGCAGUCCUUACCACACUGGCAUCCCAAAUGUAGAAUGAUUAUGUAUAUUAUGUAAUAUGUUACAUGAGUUACAGGGCCAUCUCCUUUUGUGUGAUUCAACUUGUGUAUAUAAACUAAAGAUUAACUGCUCAUAGUGGAUAGGAAAGGGGAAGAACACUAAUCAUAGUAGAUGCAGUUCUUGGCUACAAACCUUCAAUUUAGAGCUCUAAAUUACACGCAAAGUGCAAGCCUUAGAUCUGUCAUGGUCCAUGAUGGACAACUGAAUCAACCCACCGAAAAAUAAAAAAUAAAAAGAAGAAGAAAACUCUCAAACAAAACUCUGUCCACAGAAACCACUCAUCCAUUACACUGACUCCAGUUUUCGCUGAGCUGCUCCGAUGAUUCCAAAACAUUACGUCAUUGCACAGAGAGGGAACAUCGCUACUAUGGCCAGAGCGGCUGCCAAGGCGUCUGCACAGGACUGUACACUGGAUCCUUUGUGAUGUCCACAAUGUGUGUCCAAGGCAACCACUAGGUAGAGAGGACGGCCCAUAAUGGAACGCUUCUUGUCUUCUUCUCGACAACACAUGAGCUGGUAUUCUGGGCUUCAGUGUGCCCUAUUGGCCUAGCCACAGCCCGGCAGCCUUUCAUUACACUAGCCGAAGGAGGUGCCCUGGACAUCCCCAUCGAAGAUACCAUCACCACACCCCAAAGUGUGCCCAGCUCCGAGCUGUUCCCUGGAUACAACAACAAGAGAGAUGAGAAAACAGCCGCUCUGUUUGCACAUCAUUUAACUGGCAAUCAUCAAGGUAACCACUUCCAAAUCUAAAAGCUUGAGGGAUGUCUUUGUUGUAGCAUAAUUUGAUGAUAUUGUGGUGACAUAAAAUCAUUAUUUUGUUGUGAUUAUUUGUGAUGUUUAAUUAGAAAACAAUAAUAAUAUGCAGGUAUUUGAUCACUUUUGUUGUCAUUCAUAAAAUCUGAAUUAUUUCAGCCUGACCUGCUAUAGAUGGGCUUGUGGUGGAUUGUUCAUUCAUCCAGUGUGUUUUCCCGCCCGUGUUACAUAGAACAAGCGGUUUGGAAACUGGAUGGAUGGAUGUCAUGGCUGGAACUACACCGCCCCCUGCUGAUCAAAUAGAACUUGCAAGGCAGUUCCUUCCUUCCACAUUCUAUAAAAGUAUGUACUUCAUUAGAAAUUAGUGACAUACAUAACAUACAGUUGAAGUCAAAUGUUUACAUACACCUUGCAGAAUCUGCAAAAAGUUUAUUAAGAAUAUGCAAAAAUUAUUUUACCAAAAAAAGAGACAUCAUACAAAAUGCAUGUUAUUGUUUAUUUAGUACUGACCUGAAUAAGAUAUUUCAUAAAAAAAAAAGAUGUUAACAUAGUCUACAAGAGAAAAUAAUAGUCCCCUUGGUUCUUAAUACUGUGUUGUUACCUGAAUGAUCCACAGGGUUUUUUUUUUUUUUUUUUUUUUUUUAGUUGAUAGUUGUUCAUGAGUCAUUUGUGUAUUUGAACUCUUUCCAACAACGACUGUAUAAUUUUGAGAUCCAUCUUUUCACACUGAGGACAACUGAGGGACUCAUAUUACAGAAGGUUCAAACGCUCACUUAUGGUUCAGAAGGAGGGGGGGGGGACUUUUGAAACAAUUUAAUGCAUUUAAGAGUCAGUGUUACAGGUAGAUUUUGAAUUUAUUAUCUUUUUUAAUCAAAUGAUUACAUCUUUGAUUCUGAUUUAUCUGCAUGGCAAUACUAUACAGUUCACUAGAGGGCAGUAUGGCUAUAUUUUACAUCAAAAUGGCUAUACUUGUGAUGGCCACAUUUCAGUCUUCACAAUAGAAUGAAACAUGUCAAAAACUAAGUUAUGAGAACAUUUCCUGCGGUUUUUAAUAUUUGAAAUGUAAGUCUUAUUUGAUCAUAAUGAGCAUGAUUUGAGAAUAAUCUACGCAAUUUGUGAUUCUGACUGUCUGUGCAAAUGAGUUCAUAUGAUCAAUGUCACAUAACUGUUUUUGAUAGUUACCGUUAAAUAGAUGUGCGGAAUCUGAAAUUUUUAUUAAAUGAACAGAAAUACAAUCAUAUUUAAUUUUAAUAAUAUUUUUUGUUUAAUUUUUUUUAGAAAUCCUAAAACACCAUUAAAACACUCUUACCUACAAAUAGUGUUGAAUCUGUAAUAAAUGUAAUAUAAUAUUAAUUAAAAUUAUUUUCAAAAAUAAUAAAUGUGAUCGUUUUCAUUUUUUCUUCAAAAUCCUAAAAUUGUAUUACCUCGAAAUAGUGCAGAAUCUGAAACAAUAAUUAAAUAAAAAUAAUAAU
rnacentral:lncRNA from 1 species